rnacentral:rRNA from 1 species
UACGGAGGGGGCUAGCGUUGUUCGGAAUUACUGGGCGUAAAGCGUGCGUAGACGGUUAUGUAAGUCAGGUGUGAAAGCCCCGGGCUCAACCUGGGAAUUGCAUUUGAGACUGCAUAGCUAGGGUGCGGAAGAGGGAAGCGGAAUUUCCGGUGUAGCGGUGAAAUGCGUAGAUAUCGGAAGGAACAUCAGUGGCGAAAGCGGCUUCCUGGUCCAGCACCGACGUUCAGGCACGAAAGCGUGGGGAGCAAACAGG